rnacentral:rRNA from 1 species
UUAGAGUUUGAUCCUGGCUCAGGACCAUUGCUGGCGGCGUGCCUAAUACAUGCAAGUCGAACGCUUCUUUCUUAUCGAACUUUUAGUUCACCAAGAAAGAGGAGUGGCGGACGGGUGAGUAACACGUGGGUAACCUGCCCUUUAGCGGGGGAUAACACUUGGAAACAGGUGCUAAUACCGCAUAAUCUUUUUUCUCGCAUGAGUAAAAAGUGAAAGACGCUUUUGCGUCACUAAAGGAUGGACCCGCGCUGCAUUAGCUAGUUGGUGAGGUAACGGCUCACCAAGGCCACGAUGCAUAGCCGACCUGAGAGGGUGAUCGGCCACACUGGGACUGAGACACGGCCCAGACUCCUACGGGAGGCAGCAGUAGGGAAUCUUCGGCAAUGGACGAAAGUCUGACCGAGCAACGCCGCGUGAGUGAAGAAGGUUUUCGGAUCGUAAAACUCUGUUGUUAGAGAAGAAUAAGGAUGAGAGUAGAAAGUUCCUCCCUUGACGGUAUCUAACCAGAAAGCCACGGCUAACUACGUGCCAGCAGCCGCGGGUAAUACGUAGGUGGCAAGCGUUGUCCGGAUUUAUUGGGCGAAAAGCGAGCGCAGGCGGUUUCUUAAUUCUGAUGUAAAACCCCCCGGCUUAACCGGGGAAGGUCAUUGGAAACUGGGAAACUUGAGUGCAAAAAAAGGAGAGUGGAAUUUCCUGGGGAGCCGGAGAAAUGCUAAAAAUAAAGGGAGGAACCCC